rnacentral:rRNA from 1 species
UACGUAGGGUGCGAGCGUUAAUCGGAAUUACUGGGCGUAAAGCGUGCGCAGGCGGUUCUGAAAGUCAGCUGUGAAAGCCCCGGGCUUAACCUGGGAAUUGCGGUUGAAACUACAGGGCUAGAAUCUGGCAGAGGGGGGUGGAAUUCCACGUGUAGCAGUGAAAUGCGUAGAGAUGUGGAGGAACACCGAUGGCGAAGGCAGCCCCCUGGGCUAACACUGACGCUCAUGCACGAAAGCGUGGGGAGCAAACAGG